UAUUAAAAAUUUCAUUUAUGCAUACUGUUAAAAAUUAACGUGGCUGACAAAAUAAUCAAAUAGUGACAUGUCACGUAUAUGUCAUGUUGGCGUACAUGGGCUAGCUUUAAAUAGUAAAAAUGGAUAAUAUUUUUAACC
rfam:Gossypium raimondii Chr03_contig_985, whole genome shotgun sequence.